CCGGAUUUCACCCCGGUCGUGGCGGAGCAAACGCGUUAAGUGUACCGCCUGGGGAGUACGGCCGCAAGGUUAAAACUCAAAGAAAUUGACGGGGGCCCGCACAAGCGGAGGAGCAUGUGGCUUAAUUCGAUGCAACGCGAAGAACCUUACCCAGGUUUGACAUAUACCUGCAAGACCUAUGAAAGUAGGUUUCCUUCGAGGGUGGUAUACAGGUGCUGCAUGGCUGUCGUCAGUUCGUGCCGUGAGGUGUUUGGUUAAGUCCAGCAACGAACGCAACCCCUGUGUCAUGUUGCCAUCAGGUAAUGCUGGGAACUCAUGACAGACUGCCCGUUUACGCGGGAGGAAGGUGGGGAUGACGUCAAGCCAGUAUGGCCCUUACAUCUGGGGCUGCACACGUGCUACAAUGACCGGUACAAAGAGACGCAAGACCGCGAGGUGGAGCAAACCUCCAAAACCGGCCUCAGUUCAGAUUGCAGUCUGCAACCCGACUGCAUGAAGUUGGAUUCGCUAGUAACGGCGUAUCAGCUACGGCGCCGUGAAUACGUUCCCGGGCCUUGUACACACCGCCCGUCACAUCAUGAAAGCCGUCUGCACCCGAUGCCGGUGGCCUAACCCGCAAGGGAGGGAGCCGUCCAAGGUGUGGGUGGUGAUUGGGAUGAAGUCGUAACAAGGUAACCGUA
rnacentral:rRNA from 1 species